UCAAGGCAGCACUACGUGAUAGCAUGUCUCCACUUUAAAGGAGACUGAGGGUGAGAAAAACUGCGUGCGCGGCCGCAGCACCCCAAUUCCUUCCUUUCAGAGAGUUUGAAUUUCACAUUUAGAGAAACUAAUACCACAAAAGAGGGCAGAAGAAGUAAGGCAGAAACAGAGCGGUCUACUCACUGCACCGGGGAAGCACUGACGCCGGAAGCUCUUGGUGGUCUGGGGGUUUCACGUGUUCCUUGAGGUGAAGUUUCCCUUUUAAACUCCAGGCGUAGCGUUUGAGCGCCUGCAAGUCCUCUGACCCCCUUCCCCUUUCUUUCCUUUCCUCAGUUCCUGAUUGGAGCCCGGGUUUUCACUAGGGCCCCAUCACUGGAGAUUCUGAUUCAGUAUAUCUGGGAAGGCGGCCAGACGCAGUAUUUAGAAAACGCUAUCCAGGAAAAAAACUACCAAAUUAGCAGGCAGAAGUGAAGAAUGAGCAUCGGCAAAAUGUGAUGCAUAAUAUAAAGCUAAGCCACAUUUUAAAAAUGUUUCUGUGUUUCCUAGAGCGGUGGCUUACUGAAUUUCCAGGUUGGUGAUAGAAGUGUGUCCUUAACCUUAUGCUCUCCAGGAAUGUGAAGAGGCAGAGCUUACUUUUUCAUGGUUUAUUUACCUGGAAACAGGCCACUUUACACGUGGAUGAUACUAUAUACCUGGAUCAUCAUAUUUACAAAGUCCGCUAGGUGAUUGAUGCUAAAGAUGGAGAAACUUCAGAGACGUGCUGCCCACAUCCUAGGAGAUGAAACCUCCAUGGCUUUAUAAUAAGAGAGAAAUGAAGAGUGGUGCA
rnacentral:lncRNA from 1 species